UACGUAGGGUGCGAGCGUUGUCCGGAAUUACUGGGCGUAAAGAGUGCGUAGGCGGUUUUCUAAGUUUGGUGUGAAAUCUCCCGGCUCAACUGGGAGGGUGCGCCGAAGACUGGAAGGCUUGAGUAUGGGAGAGGUAAGCGGAAUUCCUGGUGUAGCGGUGAAAUGCGUAGAUAUCAGGAGGAACACCUGCGGUGUAGACGGCUUACUGGACCAUAACUGACGCUGAGGCACGAAAGCGUGGGUAGCAAACAGG
rnacentral:rRNA from 1 species